GACGAACGCUGGCGGCGUGCCUAAUACAUGCAAGUUGAGCGCUGAAGGUUGGUACUUGUACCAACUGGAUGAGCAGCGAACGGGUGAGUAACGCGUGGGGAAUCUGCCUUUGAGCGGGGGACAACAUUUGGAAACGAAUGCUAAUACCGCAUAAAAACUUUAAACACAAGUUUUAAGUUUGAAAGAUGCAAUUGCAUCACUCAAAGAUGAUCCCGCGUUGUAUUAGCUAGUUGGCGAGGUAAAGGCUCACCAAGGCGAUGAUACAUAGCCGACCUGAGAGGGUGAUCGGCCACAUUGGGACUGAGACACGGCCCAAACCCCCAAGGGAGGCAGCAGGAGGGAAUCUUCGGCAAUGGACGAAAGGCUGACCGAGCAACGCCGCGUGAGGGGAGAAGGGUUUCCGAUCGUAAAACUCUGUUGGUAGGGAAGAAAGUUGGUGAGAGUGGAAAGCUCAUCAAGUGACGGUAACUACCCAGAAAGCGACGGCUAACUACGUG
rnacentral:rRNA from 1 species